AUACGGAGGAUCCGAGCGUUAUCCGGAUUUAUUGGGUUUAAAGGGAGCGUAGGCGGACGCUUAAGUCAGUUGUGAAAGUUUGCGGCUCAACCGUAAAAUUGCAGUUGAUACUGGGUGUCUUGAGUACAGUAGAGGCAGGCGGAAUUCGUGGGGUAGCGGUGAAAUGCUUAGAUAUCACGAAGAACUCCGAUUGCGAAGGCAGCCCCCUGGACUGUAACUGACGCUGAUGCUCGAAAGUGUGGGUAUCAAACAGGAUUAGAUACCCUGGUAGUACACACAGUAAACGAUGAAUACCCGCUGUUUGCGAUAUACAGUAAGCGGCCAAGCGAAAGCGUUAAGUAUUCCACCUGGGGAGUACGCCGGCAACGGUGAAACUCAAAUGAAUUGACGGGG
rnacentral:rRNA from 1 species